GUGGGGAAUAUUGGACAAUGGGCGCAAGCCUGAUCCAGCCAUGCCGCGUGAGUGAUGAAGGCCCUAGGGUUGUAAAGCUCUUUCACCGGGGACGAUAAUGACGGUACCCGGAGAAGAAGCCCCGGCUAACUUCGUGCCAGCAGCCGCGGUAAUACGAAGGGGGCUAGCGUUGUUCGGAAUUACUGGGCGUAAAGCGCACGUAGGCGGACAUUUAAGUCAGGGGUGAAAUCCCGGGGCUCAACCCCGGAACGGCCUUUGAUACUGGGGGUCUUGAGUUCGGAAGAGGUGAGUGGAAUUGCGAGUGUAGAGGUGAAAUUCGUAGAUAUUCGCAGGAACACCAGUGGCGAAGGCGGCUCACUGGUCCGAUACUGACGCUGAGGUGCGAAAGCGUGGGGAGCAAACAGG
rnacentral:rRNA from 1 species